rnacentral:rRNA from 1 species
CCUACGGGAGGCAGCAGUGAGGAAUAUUGGUCAAUGGACGAGAGUCUGAACCAGCCAAGUAGCGUGAAGGAUGACUGCCCUAUGGGUUGUAAACUUCUUUUAUAUGGGAAUAAAAUGUUCCACGUGUGGGAUUUUGUAUGUACCAUAUGAAUAAGGAUCGGCUAACUCCGUGCCAGCAGCCGCGGUAAUACGGAGGAUCCGAGCGUUAUCCGGAUUUAUUGGGUUUAAAGGGAGCGUAGGUGGAGUGUUAAGUCAGUUGUGAAAGUUUGGGGCUUAACCGUAGAAUUGCAGUUGAAACUGGCAGUCUUGAGUACAGUAGAGGUGGGCGGAAUUCGUGGUGUAGCGGUGAAAUGCUUAGAUAUCACGAAGAACUCCGAUUGCGAAGGCAGUUCACUGGACUGCAACUGACACUGAGGCGCGAAAGUGUGGGUAUCAAACAGGAUUAGAUACCCCGGUAGUC